rnacentral:lncRNA from 1 species
ACAGCUAUGUAGCCAUAGGUGCGGAGUCACAGUUGUGAAGCUGCAGUUGUAUAGCCACAGUGCCUCUUGGAAACCCUUCCUUUGUCCUUGUGGGGCACACGGGCUGGGUGCACAGCCCUGACAGCAGUCCUACCCCCUGAAGGUGGAGACCCACAGGCCGGGGGAAGGAUGGACCCAGAGCAACGGGGACAAGCCAGCGUGGCCUUCAGGCCUUUCCUUUCGGAGGAGACUGGCCAACCCCAAGAAGAAAGACCGCAGGUGGUGGGGGGCGGAGUGAGGACAAGAACCCUCGCGUCCUGCUCACCCGCAGCCUCGCUCUGCUGGCUCCAGCGCAGGAACAGCCCCGUGGAGCCCGGAGAGGAUGGAAAGAAAGAGCUGUGUCCUACAACCUGGAACUUAGCUGGGCAGGGGCCCUGCUGUGUGUCAGGCAUUCACAGUCCUUGAAAACAGAGGGAUCAGUCUGUUUCUUCCAGCAGAUUCCACCCUUUUCCUUGGAAACCAGUGGCUAUUCCAGGGGAGGCGUCUCUCCGCCCCUGUUCCUAACACAUGGCAGAAGCUUGGUCCCCGUCUGUGCAUCACAUGAAUGGAACAGAAGAGGGAAGGACAAACCAGCAGCAGAGAGGUUGGAGAGCCCACGUGACCGCCCCUGAACACAGGCCUACCUCCUGUGUCUCUGCGUCUGACCUCCCUGGGGAGUUCAAGGUCAGAAGCAGCCUCUUCCACGUCCACAGAGGCAGCAAGGGCACUCUGCCCUGUCCAUACGUCCACAGGUCCCCGAGCCGCCCUCUGCUGUCACGCUCCAGGCCCUGCUUUGUCACUAGACCACGAGGCUCUCAGUCCCGCUCUCCCUGGACCAGGAAGGCCCCCCGUGCUCUCCUGCCUCCUGGAGCAGGACCCUUGGCACAGGUGGGGCAAGGAGGCCUCCCUGAUCCUGGGCACAGCCAGCCCUCGGCCUCCUUGGAGAGUAAGUCUCAGGAGGGGCAGCCAGCUCGGUGAGGACAGGACUCCGCCUUCCCCAGGCACCAGAGCUGAGCAAACCAGGGUCAGGAGGGGCCACGUGAGCCGUCAGGUGAACGAGGGCAGAAGGAAUGUUAACACAGCAUCGGCCAAAGUGUGGGUCCCUGGAAAGCGGGCAUCUCAACGCACACGCC